UACGGGGGGGGCAAGCGUUGUUCGGAAUUACUGGGCGUAAAGGGCGCGUAGGCGGCCUGUUAAGUCGAACGUGAAAUCCCCGGGCUCAACCCGGGAACUGCGUCCGAUACUGGCAGGCUUGAAUCCGGGAGAGGGAUGCGGAAUUCCAGGUGUAGCGGUGAAAUGCGUAGAUAUCAGGAGGAACACCGAUGGCGAAGGCAGGUCUCUGGGCAUUAACUGACGCUGAGGAGCGAAAGCAUGGGGAGCGAACAGG
rnacentral:rRNA from 1 species